GAUGAACGCUGGCGGCGUGCCUAAUACAUGCAAGUCGAGCGAACGGACGAGAAGCUUGCUUCUCUGAUGUUAGCGGCGGACGGGUGGGUAACACGUGGAUAACCUACCUAUAAGACUGGGAUAACUUCGGGACACCGGAGCUAAUACCGGAUAAUAUUUUGAACCGCAUGGUUCAAAAGUGAAAGACGGUCUUGCUGUCACUUAUCGAUGGAUCCGCGCUGCAUUAGCUAGUUGGUAAGGUAAAGGCUUACCAAGGCAACGAUGCAUAGCCGACCUGAGAGAGUGGUCGGCCACACUGGAACUGAGCCACGGUCCAGGCGCCUAAGGUAGGCAGCAGUAGGGAAUCUGCCGCAAUGGGCGAAAGCCUGACGGAGCAACGCCGCGUGAGUGAUGAAGGUCUUCGGAUCGUAAAACUCUGUUAUUAGGGAAGAACAUAUGUGUAAGUAACUGUGCACAUCGUGACGGUACCUAAUCAGAAAGCCACGGCUAACUACGUG
rnacentral:rRNA from 1 species